AUGCUUCUGCAUGAGGUGCAUCUUGAUGAGCUUGCUGAGGACGACAUAGUAUGGAAACACUCGGACUCUAGGCAUUACUCCGCGGUCUCUGUUUAUAGGGCACAAUUUUUGGGUUUGGUCCUCUCCCCCAUGGAACAAAUGGUUUGGAAGCCUUGGACCCCACUGAAGGUCAAGUUCUUUGCU
rnacentral:rRNA from 1 species